rnacentral:misc_RNA from 1 species
UCCGAGUUGUCCCCGGCAGUCCUCUUAGAGUCCCCGGCAUUACCCGCUGGCAACUAAGAGCAGGGGUUGCGCUCGUUGCGGCACUUAAGCCAACACCUCACGGCACGAGCUGACGACAGCCAUGCAGCACCUGUGCUAGCCCCUUACGGACACGGGCUUUCACCCGCUUUAACUAGCAUGUCAAACCCAGGUAAGGUGGGGAUGACGUUAGUGACCUUUGC